UUUUAUGAGAGUUUGAUCCUGGCUCAGGACGAACGCUGGCGGCGUGCCUAAUACAUGCAAGUCGUACGCUUCUUUUUCCACCGGAGCUUGCUCCACCGGAAAAAGAAGAGUGGCGAACGGGUGAGUAACACGUGGGUAACCUGCCCAUCAGAAGGGGAUAACACUUGGAAACAGGUGCUAAUACCGUAUAAUAAUCGAAACCGCAUGGUUUU
rnacentral:rRNA from 1 species